GUUCCUACGGGAGGCAGCAGUGGGGAAUAUUGGACAAUGGGGGGAACCCUGAUCCAGCGACGCCGCGUGAGUGAAGAAGUAUUUCGGUAUGUAAAGCUCUAUCAGCAGGGAAGAAAGAAAUGACGGUACCUGAAUAAGAAGCCCCGGCUAACUACGUGCCAGCAGCCGCGGUAAUACGUAGGCGGCAAGCGUUAUCCGGAUUUACUGGGUGUAAAGUGAGCGUAGACGGCGGUGCAUGUCUGUAUUGAUAUGC
rnacentral:rRNA from 1 species